GGAAAGCAGGUGCACAUUCUCUUGUAAUUGCUUCUGUUUUCUCACUGAAGUGAGAGACAAGGUGGGCUUCUCCCCCCAACCUUGUCUUGGACUUCCACACUUACACACUGAGCUCACCCUUGAUUCAGAGCCUUUGUUCUGCUUGAAUCCCCUAAUUCCGGUCACCGUCCAUCCUGCUCCUUUUCUCCCUCAGACCUCUCCACCCUCCAUCAUCUUUGGAGACCACCAAUUGCUUGUGCAGAGUGAUGAAACACAGGACGUCAGGUUGAGGAGCCUGGGUUCUGCUUUGACUUUUCCUCUGGUUUUAUUGCCUCUCCGAGCUUCCACAAUUCUACCUCAAUGUUUCAUAUGUUUUUUACUUUGUGCCACAGUAAGAAAUCCAUUGGAUGUUGUGACCCAGAACACAUGUGUCUCAAAAGUGUUACGAGCCAUACCUGGCAGCGUGGAGAGCAUACUGGUUCAAGAUAGAGUCAUGAGUCCUCGGCUCUCGGGACUUAAAGGGAUCUCAAGUCCAGCUGGCCCAAACACCUGGCUGAUUGGACAUCCCCUGUCAUAUCCCUUUGAACUUAGAGUCCAGUUUCUGCUCACACUCCCAGUUCGUAGGAGGCCUUCUCUCCCGUUUUAGAUGCUCAAUGGAUCACCUCCCCUUGGUAUUCCGGAGCCACCCACCAAACAGCCUCUGCGCCUUGCAUCUGUGAGGCCCGCUGGCACCUCCAGUUCACCAUGCUUCAAACAGAGCUCAUCGACCCUGUCCCCCGCCCUCCAAUGCUUGUUCCUUCCCCCUGUUGUUCAUCCAGUAACCGGAGUCAGACAUCAUGGUCCAUAUCAGUAUUUAUGGCUCACUCUGUGCAGGUGACUAAGCAAAGGGCCUGCUCCCUGGAGCUUACGUUUUCAUGCGGGGAGGCAGACAAUCUCCAACAAGCGUCAGGAAGGCGAUGAAUCUGUGAGGGCUGGGCAGGCGGGAGCCAGGAGGGCCGGGAGGGCCCAUUGGCCCCGUUACUGAAUUCACCAGGCUGUGUCAGGAUGGGCCUUGUAGAGAAGGUGAGGUCUGAGAAAAGGCUCAAAGGAGGGAAAGGAAGUUGGCCAAGAUAUCUAGGGGAGGGAACAGCCUAGGCAGAGAUAGUGGAGAAGCCCCCAGAAGACUUGUAAAACAGAGUUUCUGAUUCAGUGGGUCUGAGGUGGGACCAGAAACUUUGUGUG
rnacentral:lncRNA from 1 species